UGACCUCCAAUCAAUUUCCGUCAUGCGCCAUCAUCUAAUAUAAAAGAACUUUCGAGACGUAUUAAGUGUGUAGCCUAUUGGUAUAUAAUGUACUACCUGUGGCCGAAAACCUUGAAAGUUUAUUUUUUGGUUCCCCUCACUCUCUCGGAAGCAACGGGAAUAUUGGACGAGAUAUAAAUAAGGGGAAGGGUCCGCAUUUGAUUUAUUACAGCAUUUUGACGAGUGCUGCAUAGUAAACGGUCUGUCAAGAAAAUGGAGAAUAAUUCAAAACGUGAUGACGCCAAGAAGAAUUCGUCCAGUAAUAGCAAUCAGGUUAAAACUUCGUCCGUUUACAUCGUCUGGAAAUCACCCGACAAUAAGUCGAAAUCAUCAGACAGGACCAGCAGCAGCUCAUCCGCCCAGUCCAAAAACAUUUUCUCCAGUUCACUUUCUCACAGGUCCUUCACUGGCCUAUUCUGAAAGAUGGUCAAUAAUAAUGGACGUCGUUACCACAGCACUAUAGCAAAUACUCUGAUUCAACUCAAUUAAUUAAUAUGAAACACACGAAUAAAUUUUAUUACAUCACCCGAAUUGUCAAGCGAUUGCAUCAAUAUCUUUUGUUCAAACAAAUUUUUAAAAUGCGAAUACAAACUAAAAAUAUCAAA